CUGGGCCUGAUGGUGUUCCUGUAAAAGGCAGUAUAUAUGCAAAAAAUCGUAGUCAUGUCAGACAAUAUCUCCAUUGUAAGUCCCCCCUACAGUCUCCCUUUCCUAAUCCCACCUUUCCCUUUUACCCUAUGUCCUAUUACCCCCAGUAUAUAUGCAAAAAAUCGUAGUCAUGUUAGACAAUAUCUCCAUUGUAAGUCCCCCCUACAGUCUCCCUUUCCUAAUCCCACCUUUCCCUUUUACCCUAUGUCCUAUUACCCCCAGUGUAUUCCCAAUCUGCUUUUUUAUCCAUGGUUUCCCUCACAAAACCAUGCUUUUGCCAAUUGUUUCCCCAAAAAUCCCUUUCCAAUGCCGAGUGGGGGAUGAAAAGGGGGAGGGAAGAAAUUAAACCCUCUCCUGCCUCAGUUUCCCCACAAAGCAUGCUCAGAGAGUUCUGUCUCCCUUCUGUCAGUCCUAAGAUGUUCCACAGAAUCUGUUUGGACAUUUAAAGACUCAGGAGGGUGGCUUGUUUUGUUUUGAAACUGUUCUUGUUAUGUUUAUCCAGUUGUUUUCAUUCUCCUUUUAUUAAAAUAAAACGGGUGAGGUGUUGGGGUCUCCUCCCCUGCCGUGUAGCCCUGGGAGAGGGGCCCUGAGGGCACAGACACGGGGCUUCCCUGCCCCUGCUCAGCCUCGUUCCCAUGGGUUGGUUUGUGUUCCCUGCGCGGGCAGAAGGACCCUUGGUCCCGUGACUGGGACAGUUCCUCGGCAGAGCCCCGGCCAUGUGGCUGGAGAAAUAAACAUCUCUCUGGAACAGCUAUCAAGAAUCUGUCUGUCCAUAUAUAUUUCCUUUCCACGGGACUCCUGGUUUGAUAUAUGCAUGUUGCAGUAUCCCCACUGCAACAGACUAUAUGCACCUAUACAUGUAUUUACCUAGUCUGCUUCCACUCUAGUUCACAAGUGUGUUGACCCAGAAACCAGCCCAACUUCCUGGUAGUUAAAUUUGCAUUUAAGCAGUAAAUAGGACCUCCAAAUUUUAUUUUUUUCUUUUUUCAUUGAAACUUGAAAGCCACCUCAAGUAUCACUUUUCUGUCAUCUUUAUGCCAGGGACAGCCAUAGAACAGUCUCACUGACAUCAAAUUGCACCAGAAACAAUCACAGCCCACUAAAAUGUUACAACCUUUAUUCUUCCUUUUGAAGAAGGAAAAACAUGCCCUUAGGCAAAGAAGUUUAUAUAGCAGAAUUCAAUCCCAGACUUCAAACAGCUGAAUGGAGCUGCUGUAACAAGGGAUUAUAAUGAAACAGCUUCAGAGCCCUGGGCAAGGUGAGCGGAGGAGCAAGGGCUGCUCAAGGGAACUCAGAGCCUAAUGUUUCAUGUGACAUUUUUCCCAGCUUCAAAGCCAUAAACUAAAUUGCUGUGCUGAAACCACUAUGAAACAAAACAGUUUUUAAGAUCUGGCAUCUGUAUAACCGCACUUAAGAACACAAAAUUUUAACAAAUGUUUUCCUUAACCACUGUGUGGUCUGUUGGGACAGAAUUUCACAUAGAACCACAUAGAUGGCACAGAUCAAACUUCAUUCUUGGACUUGGUGAUUCAUGGCUGCUGGCACAAAAUAACAUCUCACAGGCUGAUUCCUAACCUAUUGCUUACUCCUCUUGUCCUUCAGGACAUGCAAUAUGCCAUAUUUCCUCAGGUGGCAUUUCAGAUACCACUCACCAUUGGAUGUCUGCAGCCCACCAUUUGAUGUCUGCAGCCCACCUCCGGAGUUUACUCCUCUCGGGGCAGGGACACAGAGAGAGCUGCUGUCAGGAAGAUCCAAACUACCCCUGUCCUGGCUGGAGUAGAGAGUGCAUGUCCUAUGCCACAGCCCCUGCAAUAACAGAAUCACAGAAUAAGACAAGUUGAAAGACAGAGCAGGGAAGACAGCUGCGGACAAUACACUCUUAAGCCACUUCAACAGCAGGCACUGCCAAGCUACAGGGUGUUUUCUGAGCCCACUUCCCCUAGAGGUUUAUUUUGAUGAGCCAAGAGUGGAAACAGG
ensembl:lncRNA